rnacentral:rRNA from 1 species
ACGCGUAAGAACUUGCCUCUUAGACCGGGACAACAUCUGGAAACGGAUGCUAAUACCAGAUAUUAUGGUUUUUUCGCAUGGAGGAAUCAUGAAAGCUAGAUGCGCUAAGAGAGAGCUUUGCGUCCCAUUAGCUCGUUGGUGAGGUAACGGCCCACCAAGGCAAUGAUGGGUAGCCGGCCUGAGAGGGUGAACGGCCACAAGGGGACUGAGACACGGCCCUUACUCCUACGGGAGGCAGCAGUGGGGAAUAUUGGACAAUGGACCACAAGUCUGAUCCAGCAAUUCUGUGUGCACGAUGACGUUUUUCGGAAUGUAAAGUGCUUUCCGUCGGGAAGAAGUCAGUGACGGUACCGACAGAAGAAGCGACGGCUAAAUACGUGCCAGCAGCCGCGGUAAUACGUAUGUCGCAAGCGUUAUCCGGAUUUAUUGGGCGUAAAGCGCGUCUAGGCGGCAAGGAAAGUCUGAUGUGAAAAUGCGGAGCUCAACUCCGUAUGGCGUUGGAAACUGCCUUACUAGAGUACU